rnacentral:rRNA from 1 species
CUACGGGACGUAGCAGUGAGGAAUAUUGGUCAAUGGGCGCGAGCCUGAACCAGCCAUCCCGCGUGCAGGAUGACGGCCCUAUGGGUUGUAAACUGCUUUUCUAUGCCAAGAAACCUGAUUACGUGUAAUCAGUUGCCGGUAGCAUAGGAAUAAGCAUCGGCUAACUCCGUGCCAGCAGCCGCGGUAAUACGGAGGAUGCAAGCGUUAUCCGGAUUCAUUGGGUUUAAAGGGUGCGCAGGUGGGCUUGUAAGUCAGUGGUGAAAUGCUGCCGCUUAACGGUAGAACUGCCAUUGAUACUGCGAGUCUUGAGUAUGGUUGAGGUAGGCGGAAUGUGUUGUGUAGCGGUGAAAUGCAUAGAUAUGACACAGAACGCCAAUUGCGAAGGCAGCUUACUAAGCCAUUACUGACGCUGAGGCACGAAAGCGUGGGGAGCGAACAGGAUUAGAUACCCGGGUAGUC